UGCAAGUCGAACGGAUCAAGGUUCUUCGGGACCUUGGUUAGUGGCGCACGGGUGCGUAACGCGUAUGCAACCUACCUUCCACAGGGGGAUAGCCCCGGGAAACCGGGAUUAAUACCGCAUGACACAGUUUGGUGGCAUCACCUGACUGUCAAAGUUUCGGCGGUGGAAGAUGGGCAUGCGUGCCAUUAGCUAGUUGGCGGGGUAGAGGCCCACCAAGGCUACGAUGGCUAGGGGUUCUGAGAGGAUGGUCCCCCACACUGGUACUGAGACACGGACCAGACUCCUACGGGAGGCAUCAGUAGGGAAUAUUGGGCAAUGGCCGCGAGGCUGACCCAGCCAUGCCGCGUGCAGGAAGAAGGCCUUCUGGGUUGUAAACUGCUUUUAUCUAGGAAGAAAACGCCCAUGCGUGGGUAACUGACGGUACUAGAUGAAUAAGCACCGGCUAACUCCGUGCCAGCAGCCGCGGUAAUACGGAGGGUGCAAGCGUUGUCCGGAUUUAUUGGGAUUAAAGGGUGCGUAGGCGGCCCGUUAAGUCAGCG
rnacentral:rRNA from 1 species